AUCCAUGAUGGCCGAGAUAUUAGGCAUCGAGCUUUUAACUCGACUUACAGUUAUUUUACUUCAGGAUA
rnacentral:tRNA from 1 species